rnacentral:rRNA from 1 species
CUAAGAAUAUUCCGCAAUGGACGGAAGUCUGACGGAGCGACGCCGCGUGGAUGAAGAAGGCCGAAAGGUUGUAAAGUUCUUUUGCUGGGGAAGAAUAACCGCAGGAGGGAAUGCCUGUGGGAUGACAAGAACCGGCGAAUAAGCCCCGGCCAACUACGUGCCAGCAGCCGCGGUAACACGUAGGGGGCGAGCGUUGUUCGGAAUUACUGGGCGUAAAGGGCAUGUAGGCGGCUUGGAAAGCCUGGCGUGAAAGUCUGCAGCUUAACUGCAGGGGUGCGCUGGGAACUGCUGAGCUUGAGUGACGGAGAGGGAGCUGGAAUCCCUGGUGUAGGGGUGAAAUCUGUAGAUAUCAGGAAGAACACCGAUGGCGAAGGCAAGCUCCUGGCCGAUGACUGACGCUGAGGUGCGAAAGUGUGGGGAUCAAACAGGAUUAGAUACCCUGGUAGUCCACACAGUCAACGAUGUGCACUAGGUGCUGGGGCGGUAGCUUCGGUGCCGGAGCGAACGUGGUAAGUGCACCGCCUGGGGAGUAUGCUCGCAAGGGUGAAACUUAAAGG